GCCGCGACGCGGAAGUCUUCCGAUUGGUUUCCAGUUCCAGGAAGUUGCAGACUUCGGGCAAAUCGCGUCGCCUCUGGGACUGUUUCUAAUCAGAAGAAUGAAAGAAAAGGCCGAACCAACCCUUCAGCGCCCUUCCCCCCGCCAGGGUGAGGGGUCGGCUCUGAAAUGCGGCGGGGAAGAACAAUAGGCGCCCUGGGCCCGAAGGGCGGAGGGCAAUUUGCAUCUCAGAGGAGCUCCGGUCGGGACGCCGGGUUUGGACUCUGACCCUUGCACUAAAGAUCAGCGCUGGGAAUUUCCUGUGACCUGUUGAGGUUUGCUGCUCGGAAGCAAUAAGGAGUCUUUGACGUUAAUAUCCACUUAAUUAAGGAAUCUAAAAUGGCAGUUUAGUGGCAGGAUUCUGUGAGCUCCCUGAAAUUGUACGGAAAAGUCUGUGUUGUGUGUGCAUAGGUGCGUUUUUCUGGGGAGAGUGUUCAUAACUUUCCUUGGAUUCUCAGAGGGGCUCACAGCUGCCCAAAGGUGAAGAACUUCUGGUCACACGUGAGCCACACUGAAGGAGAACAAUGGUGCGAAUCCUGUGGGAGGAGUGGGAGCAGGAAAGGGAAAGACUUAACUGUGGGGAGAUGGGGGUGGGAGGGAAGACUUUCAGGUAAAACUUCUCUGAGAGGCAGGAUUUGGGUGAUGGGAGAGGAAGCUGACAUUUCUUGCGCUCCUAGUGUGUGCCAGGCACUGUUCUAGACUAAAAUUCAUGAGGAUUAAUAGAUUCUUAACAACAACCGCAUGAGGUAAAUAAGAUUGUUCGGGCUUUAUAGAUUCAUUCGUUUAGCAAAUAUUUUUCCAGCAUUUAUUAUAUGUAUCAGGCACUGUGCCUAGAGGGGAAGAUACAACAGUUAACAAAACAGUGGAAAAUGCCUUCUUUCAUGGAGCUUAAUUUCCAUGGGAGGCAGAUGAGGAAUCUGGGUUCACAGAGAGUUACCCGAUACAUAAGGGUCCUCAGCUAGUAGCAGGAGAGAUUUGAACCCAGGCUGUACAGCACCAAAAGUUGUUUUUUGUUUUUGUUUUUAUAAUGACUUUAAACAAAAAUAAAUACGAGGAAAGCGAGAAAAUAUUUACAUCAAGUAGUGCAAAGAAAAGAUUUAAAGUUUUCAAACUGCAAAUCAAAACCAAAAUAUAUGUUCAAAAUGAAGAAACAGGCAAAGAUUACUAUAAUAAUUCAGAAGAGAAAAUAUGAAUGAUCAAUAAGGUUGAAUCCUGGCUUCCUGAAUUGUCAGUAAAACAAUCCAUUUAUUGCUUGCACAGUGAGGAAGAGGAUUACUUUGAGUAGCCUUAGCAGCGUAUCAGAGGGCAAAAGGGCAAAGUCUGGAUUUUUACUGGGGUUGGAAGACUGGUCUAAGGAGGGUUUUUCAGUGGUGGUUGGGGAUUGUGAUAAGAUACUUUAGGUUUGAUGGACACGGCCAGGCAAGGAUUUGAGGAGAGGCCUUAAAAGAAUCGUAAUAAUAUGCCUUGUGGAAACCUAGAAGCUAAAAUGCCAGUUGGCCUUCUUUGAAGGAGUGUGUCAUGUGACUGCAGUCAUGUGUGUUUCUUCUAGGCACUUGUUGGGUUUGUCCAGAUUUACCCGACCUGCUUCCAAUGUUUGGCACAGAGUGUACAACGUCUUAAGAUGUCCAAAGUGCUUGUGGGUAACCAAGUGAUGUACUAAGAAGCCCAUUCAAUGAGGUAGAAGGGAAUGAUGGGCACAUUGUUAUUGGGCUCCCCCCGCCUGUUUUUUUUUUUUUUUCCGUUUUAGUUUCCAUGUACGUAUUCUCAACUUUUCAAAUAGAUUUUUAAAAACUUUAUUGAGCUAUCAUUGACAGUCAACAAAUUUCACAUACUGAAAGUGUGCAAUUUUGGUAAGUUUUGACACAUGUAUAUGCCUGUGAAACUAUCACACAAUCCAGAUGAUGAAUAUGUCCUUCCAAAGUUUCCUUGUGCCUCUUUAUCAUCCCAUCUACUCAGUGGACCCUGUCUCCAAGCAACAACCCAUUUGUCUUCUGUCACUGCAGAUUCUUUACAUUUUUUGUUUAAUCUUAUGCAAGUGUAAUCCUAUAGUAUGUAUUCAUUUUUGCCCUUUUUAACUCAGAAUAAUUAUUUUGAGAUUCAUCCAUGUUGUUGCGUGUAUCAAUAGUUUAUUUCUUUUUAUUACUAGUAGUAUUCCGUUGUGUGGAUAUACCACAAAUUGUUUAUCCACUCAUCUGUUGGUAACAGCUGGGUUGAUACCAGUUUUUGACUAUUACAAAUAAAACUAUGAUGAACAUUCAUGUACAA